UACGUAGGGUGCGAGCGUUAAUCGGAAUUACUGGGCGUAAAGCGUGCGUAGGCGGUUUUGUAAGUCAGAUGUGAAAUCCCCGGGCUCAACCUGGGAAUGGCAUUUGGGACUGCAAGGCUCGAGUGCGGCAGAGGAGACUGGAAUUCCUGGUGUAGCAGUGAAAUGCGUAGAUAUCAGAAGGAACAUCAGUGGCGAAGGCGGCUUCCUGGACCCAUACUGACGAUCAGGUGCGAAAGCGUGGGGAGCAAACAGG
rnacentral:rRNA from 1 species